rnacentral:rRNA from 1 species
GACGAACGCUGGCGGCGUGCUUAACACAUGCAAGUCGAGCGGUAAGGCCCUUUCGGGGGUACACGAGCGGCGAACGGGUGAGUAACACGUGGGUGACCUGCCCUCAGCUCUGGGAUAAGCCUGGGAAACUGGGUCUAAUACCGGAUAUGACUCCAUGACGCAUGUUGUGGGGUGGAAAGCCUUGUGCGGCUGAGGAUGGGCCCGCGGCCUAUCAGCUUGUUGGUGGGGUGAUGGCCUACCAAGGCGACGACGGGUAGCCGGCCUGAGAGGGCGACCGGCCACACUGGGACUGAGACACGGCCCAGACUCCUACGGGAGGCAGCAGUGGGGAAUCUUGCGCAAUGGGCGAAAGCCUGACGCAGCGACGCCGCGUGAGGGAUGACGGCCUCGU